CCCCCCGCGGAGCCCCCUCUCGGUUCACGCCAGGAGGCCGCGGGGCCCUCCUCCGGCUCGUAAACGGGAAGAACCCCAUCUUACUCUCUUUGGGCGUGAUAAAUAAAUUUGGUGUUUCGUUAACUUACUUUUAACAGAUCUAAAUAGGAAACAGCCCCUAGAACCAUUGUUCAGAACCUCUGUCGAUUCCGAUUAAAUCUUCAUUGACGUUGGAGAAAAAAACAGAGCAGCAAGUACUAUAGUAUAUUGUUUAAAAUGUAUUUGUCUUAUUUUCAAAGUAUAGCGUCUGCCCCAUCCUGAAAAGUAACCACUUAUGGCAAAGAAACUAUUAUUCCAGCACUUAGAAAUUCAGUGGGGGGGGAGGGAAGUCUAGAGACACUACUUAUCGCUUACAUUAACAAAACUGUUGCUUGUGGCAUUGUUUACUGUUUGAUACAAUGAUUUUUAGGGGGGGUGACAAAAGAAGUAUACUAGCAGCUCUGAAGCAAAUCCUUGAAAUAAGUAUUUGGCUUUGUACACUUACCUACUGUUCCUAUCUCCUGUAGGUACUAUAAGAACAUGUCAGAAAUUUCUAAUUCAGUAUAAUAGAAGACAGCUGCUAAUGCUAUUGCAAAACUGCACAAAUGAAGAGGAAAGACGGUCCGUACGGCAGUCGCUGCUCAGCUGCUCUCUUACAGAGGAGCAGCCCCAAAGCGGAGAUGAGGAAGAUGGUGACGACACAGAGACAGACUGAAUAUGUUAUUACUGUUCACCUCUGUCAUGGAUUUGUGUCAUCAAGAUGUUAGAAAUCACCUUCUUUGUGCUAAGCAAAACAUGAGGGAAGAUGCUCUUCCUGUCCCCUGUAGACUUCAUUUCCCCUACCCCCUGUGUUUAAAUAAACUUUUUUUUUUUUUAAUGGCUUUAUUCAAGCUAAGCACAUUAUGUGCCUGAUUCACUCCAGGAGUCAAAUCCUUCUGUACUCAUAAAGAGUAUAGCACCUCAAUGUAGUCUUAAUGUUGAGACAGAAGUGAGGCUUGGGCAGUUGGCAUAGCCAAGGAAUGGAGUUGUUCUUUAGAAAGGAAAGAGCAUUAACAUGGUUUUAAAACCUUGUCUUCAAGUGGAAAGUGUUGUUUUGAGUCACAAAAGUAUCACUGUGCCUGUUCCAGAGUAGAGACUCUAGGGAAUGUAACAUAGAGCCAUAAGUCUGAAAUCCCUCCAACCACCUUAUAAAACUCAUAGGUACAGGUACUGCUUAGAUAUUUAUUAAGUUUACACCAAUCAGUUACAGGAAAGUAGUGCUGCUGGUAGCAUCUCUUGAAUCCAUAGGAAAACAAGAUACAAUGUGAAGAUGCUGGCUGAUAAGAGACUCCCCCCAUGGAAGGGCCACUCUUCCUUGCCAGCAUUACUUCCCUUACUUGCUCCAGUGCCUGUGAGAUGUGGAGGUGAGUUGUACCAGCUCAAACUAUUCUGCUUCUCUUGCCAAUGCAAAGAAGAAAAGCUUGCUACAAAGGUGAAGAGAUAGUAGAACACAACAGAUACUGGUUAGACAGUAAGUAGUUGCUCAUGUUCUAUGGCAUAAGGAUAGAAAACGGCUUGCUAUUACAAGUAAGAAAAAAAAAAUAGCAUUGUGAACACCAUUAACUGCAUACUUGAAUUGUUCUUGCUUAAGUUUCUUUUCUACUCUUGCCAAUACUUUUCCACUAUGCAUUUAAAGCAUAAACACCAAGCUGUGUUACCACUUUUAGGCACCUUGUCCUUGUUUGCACUGUCUUGACAAGCUGUACUGUCUUUCUGUGAGUGUAGUUAGUUGUGACCAAGUGUGACAUUAAGCUGCUUUCAAAUAAUGUUUUGCAAGUAUUUCCUCUAUCCGUGUGCUCCUGUGGCAGCUGAAAUAUUUACCUCCAGUCUCUUCCUCCUUUCUAGUUUACAGCCACAUGAAGAGUUUUGUGAAGUGUACUGUUAGGUAGCAGCUUCACACACGUGCACACACCCAGUUAAGUGCGUUGAAGUAUUUGCAUACUAGUGAGCCUAUCUGAAAUCAAGCAUCAAUGUAUUAACAUAAACCUUUUAAAUAGGGACCAAACCAAUGCAUUUUAAAUAGCUGACUACAAAAGUCUAGAACAGUAGGCUUCUGUAUUCAGACUGGUGCUAGUGUCAAAGGGGCAGAGGACGGUCUGCUCCUUACAGUGAGCACGUGAACCAUUCAAAGCCUUUGCAAAUGUAGGCCAUUCAAACCAACUGUCAGUGCAGGUGGAGCUGAAGGUAAGAGGAGGCACAUGUCAGUCUUGCACUUUAUACCAGCUCCUUGGAAGGAAAGAUGUCACUAGGAAAGCAGAAUUUGAGUGUCUGUAACUGAAGUGAUAUUAUGCUUCAGGUUGAUAUGACAGUUUGGUUAUAGCUCAGGAAGAUGAAGUAUUAUUAAUAUGUGCAUAUGAUUAAUUGCAACUGUUGGCCUUCACUGGUACGUUACAGCUACAGUUCAUUUUAUUCAACAAAAUCCACACCACUUAACUCAUGAGCUUCAAAUCAAACCAUAAGCAGUGCAGAAUGAGACCACCCAAAAAAAAGGAGGAGGGGUCCAGAAGAGGCAUCUUUAUAGCCCGAAGUACUUAGUGCUGACCAUCUUGCCAUCUCAGAACCAAGCAGGUACAGGCCCUUAUCCCACUGCAAGGACUCUAGUUCCUUGCUGCAGGGAUAAAGGUAUCUACAGACAUCAGCUAUCAACUGUUCUUCCAAUUCAAGAGCAGCCAGUGUCAAAAAAUUAUUCAGCUUAGUUACCAAGAGCCCUAGGGUGGAGUGCUUAUUCCAGAUGAUAACAGGUUACAAAGAACUUGUAGCCUACUGUUGGCAAAAGUGGAAAAGAAAGAAAAAGAAAAAAGCAGCCUUACUCACCAACAUUGAAACAGAGUAGCUGAACAACUGAAAUAAGCCAGGAGGUUUCUUCUGCCACUAGUGCCAAAUUGCAUUUUGAAAUACCCAAAUUCAGCAAGAGUCACUUCAAAACCAAAUAGCCAAGUUCUGCUUUUACACUCACCUCAGCUUUAAAUCUUUCAGAGCCAGGAGAACAGGAGGAAUUCUUACUCUUUAGAAAAAGAACAGAUAUAGCAGCUAACACUCCAAACCAGGAAGCUCUUUUGCCCAUUUCCAGUGCAGUGGAAGCCAAAGUUUCCAAAGACAGCAGUGUUAACAGCUUUACUGAAACAGUACUACUGCCACAGUCAGAUGGACUUCUCUCCAUGAAUACUUCUAAGUAAAUGCUCUCUGCCUCUUCACUUAGGCAGUAUUGCAGUACUCUGGCAGUGCCAGACAGCUGUACACGCUUUUAGACUGCAUAUCAGGCCAAAAAAAAAAAAAAAAAACUGACUUGGCACA